ensembl:lncRNA
GACCACACAGUAUCCGAUUUCAUCAGAUUAUUUUUUAUAAAGGCAAAAUAUCUUAUUAAACCGAGAAAAUCAGAUGACGCUGAGGACACCAGGCCGCUCUUGUCCUCAUCAAAGAAGCUCCGAUUUGCAGUAGACGGAGCUGUAACAGAGAACUACGGCUGGUCAAAGUCAGGGAAUAUGUGAUCAUGAAAUAUCCAGACGGAAUGGAACAUAUGCAACAGUAUCUCCAACCAAGGCUCAGGGACAUCGAGGAAGAGGGACCGGAAACUCCAGGACCUGGCCUUGAUGGUUCCCACCAUCCCCACUGGGGUUCACAAGCACCUGCAACCCCAGGUGCAGGACAUCUGCCACCUUUUCUGACCUCUGAGGGCUCCUGCAUGCAUGUGGUACACAAAGUAAAUAAACAAGUACAAGAGUUUAAGAAUCCUUUGGCAAGUAUAUGCAGUCAACCAAGGACAUACAUUUGUAACAAGGCUCCCUGGAGACUUAAUAGCAUAGGGAUUACAGGAGGUUGGCUCCUUGGGAAGAACUGCUCAGCUACAUAAAUUUCAACCUGAAGGGAAAGAGUAAUUGAACUUUGCAGGAACCACAGCAGAAGUGAGAGAAGAGAGAGAAAGGCUUGUUCCAAAACAUGAGAGCCACUCUGUGGAACGCUCCAGUGAUAACAGCUCUGGGACAGAAGAACAUGCUGCUCUCCUCUCUGCCCUAAACAUGCAUUCAGUUACUUCACAGCAAGCCCCUCCCCAAAAGACCAGUGUCUUCUCAGCCCUACACUCAGCCAAAGAGAAAGGAUGAAAUUAACUGAUCUAGUAGACAGCAGUUAAGUCCUGGUAAAAGGGGAAAACUAGACUAGAGUGAUAAGCAUAACCACACGCCCGCUCGGGGACACACGUGUCAUUUCUCAAUCACUAAUUAUUGGGGAAAUGCAAAAUACCACCUCACCCCAAUAAAAAUAACUCAUCAAAAGGACAAAAUGAUAGCAAGUAUUGGAGAGGAUAUGAAGAGAAGGAGCCCUUGCACCCACCUUUGGUGGGGACGUAAACAAAUACAAUCCUGGAAAUACUGUGGCAGUCCCUGAGAAAACUAAACCUAGUGUACACAACUGAGAUUUUACCACUCAGGAGCUGGGGGCCGGAGCUUCAUGUGUUCGAGGCCAUCCUGGGCUAUAUAGUGAGUUCAAGCCAUCCUGGGCUACAAAGUGUGUCCCUAUCUCAAAAAAGCCAAAGGGGGCGGGAUGGGGAAAAAGGAAAAUAGAAGUAUAGUUUAACCCGGAAUUCCCAUUUCAGUGGGAGGAAGAAGAAAUAAAAUUGAAAGGAAAUAAAACCAGUCUGUUAAAUAAACGUGUACAUUCCAGGUUCAUUGAGCACUGUUGAUAAAAGCCCAAAAGACAGAGAACGACCUAAAUGUCCAUCAACCAAUGAAAAGCCAAGCACCCAAGAACAAGCAGCUUGUGAUCUCACUCCCACACGGAGUCUGGGAAAGUUGAUGGCUACUGCAUGAAGUGUGCUCAGCGGGGGAGGGGAUUGGCCCAUGGAGCACCGUUUCAUCACUGAGAACUAAUUACAGUUAGGACGAGGCCUCCUGAUGGCUCCUGCUGCUGGCAGAUAAUAAGUUUGCACUGUCUCAGGACACUAGAAGAGAAGACGUGGGUGGUUUUUACCAUGUGAUUGAGAAGAUGGAUGCUUUACCUGAUAGUUAGAGACAUGUUGAAACAUCGCGUGGUGUCUCUUAGUAUAUUCAGUUCUUAUACUUUCUGUUCCAGCUAAAAUAUAUUUAAUCAGUCAGAAAGUGAGCCUCAAUAUAUCUCAGGAUCUUUAUGAACAUGUAAAGUGACUUGCCUUUUCCAGCUCCACGAUAUUCCACCAUGGCUGCCUUCUACAGAUGGACAAUUGUGUUGUUUCCAGUCUCUCGCUACUGCGUAAAGUGUGCUCGUAGCUUUCAAGCACAAAAGAGAAAAUUGAAUUAAACCUCCCAGGAUCGGGUUGGGGAUUUAGCUCAGUGGUAGAGCACUUGCCUAGCAAGUGCAAGGCCCUGGGUUUGGUCCUCAGCUCUGGAAAAAAAAAAAAAAAAAAAAACAAAAAACCACCCAGGAUCCUCCGCCCAUCCUUGUUUUAAAGCCGGCCCUUCCUACAGUUCACCAAUUGCUAGAGCAGUGCGGUCUUCUACUUUAUGGUUAUCCUACUUUGCAUAAGAAAUAUGGUGAGAAGAACUCAGCUGUUCUCUUCAGGGAAGACCCAUGGUGUGAGGGUGAGAAAUCGGCGACUUAUAGCUCUCUGUGUCCCUGCUGCCCAGCAAUCCUUUUCCUCUCCUUGCCUUGCUAAGACAACCAAUCAGGAUUAUACAAAUGCCUUGUUUGGUUCAACAUUUCUUCCACCAUUCAAUCCUAAGCGUGAGACCACAUUGGCUUGAGUGCCUCGUCCCCACGGUGGUGUAGGAAGCUUCCUGCUCCACUGACUUCGACAAAUCUUAUAGGAAGAAGUGUGCACUCUGUUCCAGACGCCAUGCUGUGAGCUACAAGCAGUGACUAUGGCACACGGAACUGUCUGUUCUCCUGGCUUUCUGAUAGUGGUGCUGAGACACUGACCUGCUCAGCCAUUUCAGUCAACACACGAACAUCUCUUAGUUACUCCUUUUUUUUUUUUUUUUAAGUGAAAGCUUCAUUAUAUAGCCAUCUUCACUCUGCGUCUCUUCAGUUCUUGGAAAGUAAUGAAAAAAAAGUCCAUAAAGUUUAGUACUUUCAGAUAGGGCUUCACUCCCAAAGGCAAACUUGCAACCCCCCUCCCAGCUAUAUAGAAUGUAGAGCCAAAGGAGGUAAUCACCUGAUUCUAAGGGUUAGCAACGACUGGCUAGGUUUAUGUCAACUACAAGCUAGCAUCAUCAGAGAGGAGGGAGCCUCAGUUGAGAAAAUGCCUCCUGAAGAUCUGCCUGUAGGUAACCCUGUAUGCUAUUUUCUUAAUUAAUGAUUGGUGGGGAGGGUUCAAUUCAUUGUGAAUGGUGCCACCCCUGUGGUCCUGGGUUCUAUAAGACAGCAGGCUGAGCAAGUCAUGGUGAGCAAGCAAGUAAGCAGCACCCUUCCAUGGCCUCUGCAUCAGUCCCUGCCUCCGGUUUCCUGCCUUGUUUGUUUUCCUUCCUGACUUACUUCAGUGAACAGCAAUGUGGAAGUGUAAUACAUCCUUUUCUCCCCAAAGGUGGUCAUGGUAUUUCCUCACAGCAGUGGUAACCUUAACCAGGACAGAAAUCAACCUUUCCUUUACACACCUCUCUAAAUCAAUUAUGUCUUAUUCUUUUACAUUUAUUCUGCUUUGAACUCCCAAGCUCUUUUUGUUACCAUAGUCACUAUUCAAUAAAUAUUUACUGGGUUCCAGGCACCAUGCCAAAUCUGUAUAAAAAAAACAUGUAAUUUUCCCUAAUAGAGGGUAAGUACUAUUAUAUAUGUUGUGAGGAGGAGGACAUCUAGACUUAAAGAAGUUUAGUAACAUGCCUGGGUUGAACAUCUAACAAG